GACGUAGGGUGCGAGCGUUGUCCGGAAUUAUUGGGCGUAAAGGGCUCGUAGGCGGUUUGUCGCGUCGGGUGUGAAAACCUUGGGCUUAACUCUGGGCUUGCUUUCGAUACGGGCAGACUAGAGGUAUGCAGGGGAGAACGGAAUUCCUGGUGUAGCGGUGAAAUGCGCAGAUAUCAGGAGGAACACCGGUGGCGAAGGCGGUUCUCUGGGCAUGAUCUGACGCUGAGGAGCGAAAGUGUGGGGAGCGAACAGG
rnacentral:rRNA from 1 species